UACGUAGGGUGCAAGCGUUAAUCGGAAUUACUGGGCGUAAAGCGUGCGCAGGCGGCUUUGCAAGACAGAUGUGAAAUCCCCGGGCUCAACCUGGGAACUGCAUUUGUGGCUGCAAGGCUAGAGUACGGUAGAGGGGGAUGGAAUUCCGCGUGUAGCAGUGAAAUGCGUAGAUAUGCGGAGGAACACCGAUGGCGAAGGCAAUCCCCUGGACCUGUACUGACGCUCAUGCACGAAAGCGUGGGGAGCAAACAGG
rnacentral:rRNA from 1 species